CUUUAUGACCUAAUACAAAUGAUGCUUCUUCUGUGAAGCCUUCCCUGCCCUCCCCAGGGAGAUAAUCACUCUCCUCUCUGCUUUCACAUAUAUUAUGGCAUGUCUCUUUAUAUGUUGUUCUCUCCCAAAUGUCUUAGAAGAUUCAUGGGGCAAUCUGAUUGAGGAAGAGGUAUCCUAGAAACAUCUACUGAUGAACAAAAAUAUCAGGUAAAGAAAUAAAAGAGGACAAGAAAAGAUGUUUUCCCAUCCCUGACAUUUUCUGGUCCAGCAAGGACAAGCUGAAAAGCUGAUUAACAAGGUAAUGUGCA